rnacentral:rRNA from 1 species
AGUGAACGCUGGCGGUAGGCCUAACACAUGCAAGUCGAACGGCAGCACAGUAAGAGCUUGCUCUUACGGGUGGCGAGUGGCGGACGGGUGAGGAAUACAUCGGAAUCUACUUUUUCGUGGGGGAUAACGUAGGGAAACUUACGCUAAUACCGCAUACGACCUACGGGUGAAAGCAGGGGAUCUUCGGACCUUUCGCGAUUGAAUGAGCCGAGGUCGGAUUAGCUAGUUGGCGGGGUAAAGGCCCACCAAGGCGACGAUCCGUAGCUGGUCUGAGAGGAUGAUCAGCCACACUGGAACUGAGACACGGUCCAGACUCCUACGGGAGGCAGCAGUGGGGAAUAUUGGACAAUGGGCGAAAGCCUGAUCCAGCCAUGCCGCGUGGGUGAAGAAGGCCUUCGGGUUGUAAAGCCCUUUUGUUGGGAAAGAAAAGCAGCAGGUUAAUACCCCGCUGUUCUGACGGUACCCAAAGAAUAAGCACCGGCUAACUUCGUG